rnacentral:tRNA from 1 species
UCAGAGAAUAGUUUAUAAAAAUUUUAGUUUUGGAAAUUAAUGAUAAAGGAAUUGAUUCUUUUUCUCUG